rnacentral:rRNA from 1 species
GCUUAUGGCCAUGCUGCCCUGAGCAAGCCCGAUCUCAGCCGAUCUCAGAAGCUAAGCCAUUUUGGGCCUGGUUAGUACUUGGAUGGGAGACCACCUAGGAAGACCAAGUGCUAUAGACG